AUCAAAGGUUAAUUUAUUAUUGAAGAAAGAAAAAUGUCUCUAUCAAUGAAUAUAGCCUAAGGAUACGGGGUUUAUGAAGUCUACAGUAGUGUACAGCAGUGUCCUAGGCCUUCAUGUUCAUUCAUCAGUAGGUGCACUCACCAACGGACCCAGAGCAACUCCAGUCCUAUAAGCUGCAGUCAUAGUAAGUGCCCUACACAGGUGUACCAUUUUUAAUCCUUUUACCAUUUUUAUUGUACCUUUUCUGUUUAGAUGUGUUUAGAUACACAAAUACUUACUACUGUGUUCCAAUUGCCUAUAGUAUUCAGUACAGCAACAUGCUGAAUGGGUCUGUAGACUAGGAGCAAUGGGCUAUACUAUACAGCCUGGGUUUGUAGUAGGCUAUACCAUCUCAGUUUGUGUAAAUACAUUCUAUGAUGUUCACACAAUGUCAAAAUUGCUUAAUGAUGCAUUUCUCAGAACCCAUCUUCAUUGUUAAGUGACAUAUGACUGUAUAUUAUAAAGAGGCCAAACCCACGCCUGAUGUAUGUCAGCAUGCCUGAGUUACUUAACACAAGGUCUGAGACACAGAGGAUGCUUAUAAUACUGACUAAAUGACUAAUUAAAAAGUUAUUUCCACUAAAUUUUGAAUCAUAUUGUAUCCUUGUUUUGGCAGCAGAUUUACAUCCUUAAUUCUAUCUUGCUUAGCUAAAAUUAACAGGUUUACAUUUUUCAAGUAAACUCUAGAAAUUAGUUGCUUAGAUGCCUGCUAAGUGAUGGGAUCAAGGGAGGCUAAGCUCUAAAGUUUGUCAAGAAAAAGCUACAUGUGAAUAAUUAGGAGUUGCUAGUUAAGCACUCAAACUUUUUUUUUUUUUUUUUUUUUUUGGUGAUAAACUGUAGGAGUUUCUCGGGUCUAAAGGAAGACACAGGAUGUCUUCAGAGAUUGGAGCCACAUUUGGGCCAGGAGCAACUAUUUAAAGGACUCCGCGUCGCUAAAACAAUAAGAAUAGUAUAAAAAAGUACCCAUGUAUUUGGUUGUUUUCUGGACAGGUAAACCCAAGUCUUAAGUAAGGGCCAUGAGUACAGAUGACCACAGAAAAGUUUCCAAAGGAAACCCUGAGUGAGCAAGCUUGACUGUAGUCUACUAUAGACUUUAAAAAUAUCCAUUUGUAUUUUUAGGAGUUCUUACAAAUAUUAAUCCACCAUAAAAGUAAUAACAGCAAGGCCUUGAAAGUUAAUGAUAAUGAAAGGCAAUUUUUAAAUUUUUUUUUAGAGAAAGGGUCUCCCUUAUUGCCCAGGCUGGAAUGCAGUAGUAUGAUCAUAGCCCACUGUAACCUUGAAUUCCCAUGCUCAAGCAAUCCUCCCACCUCAGCCUACCGAGUAGCUGGGACCACAGGCACAUGCCACAAUGAUUGGCUAACUUAUUUUUAUUUUUCUGUAGAGACAGGGUCUCACUAUGUUGCCCAAGGUGGAAAGGCAAUAUUUUUUAAGGUACUAUGUGCUAGGCACUAUGUAAGCUUAAAUCUUGCUGAGCUUCAUAUCUUAGCUACAUCUCUUUUGAUCCUUACAACAAUCCUAUGAAGUGAGUAAUAUUAACAUCCCUAUUGACAGAAUGAGGCUAUGAGAAACUAAGUCACUCCAGUUCACAUGGUUAGUUACUGACACAGCCAGGGUUCGAAACCAGGCCAACUGAGUUUUAACCACUACUCCAAUUAGCUUUCUCUGGGCUUAUCAUGUCUCUCAUGUCAAAUAACGUGUUAUUCUGCCAGCCCACAAGAGUCUUGAGAGCUCAAAGGCCCAUCUCUGGGAGGAUACCGAUGGAAGUGUGUCAUGAGGAUCUUAUCACUCAUCUGAGCUCUGCAUGUCACUCAGGCUCCAUACUCGGCUUCCUCUGUUCUGAUGUACAGUGAUAACCCAGGGCAAGGGGUUUCCAGAAAGACAGCACAUACUCUGGCUCAGCAAGUUACUUAAUCUCACUCAACUGGCCCAGCAGCUGGAUUCACGCAAGUCAGGUGGCCUGGAACUGAUCCUCUCUGGUUGUAGAAUUAAAAAUCUGGCAAGGAUUGGAAAGAUAGUUUACUUAAUAGGGCCUCAAGUAUAGGAAAGCAAUUGAAGGGUGAUUGCAGUGAUAGAAUCACUUGAGAGAGGGAGGUAGGGAAACUGUAAGUUACUAUAAAGUUGUGACCUUAUUUUAAACUAGAAAACUUAGUGGUCUCUUAUGUCUUUUGACUUUCAAGCAUUCCUGUGAGAGGGCUGGCAUAAAUGAUUGUUAAUGCUGUUGAUGGGAAAUUUAAAGUAGGAGGAAUCUGCCUACUGGCUUUUAAGAAAAGGUGAUUUCCUGCAAGAUGACCUAAUUGGUUAGGAAACAGAUAAGUGAACCUUCUCUAUGUUCACUUUAAGAGGAAGUUCUAAAAAUUGAGGUGCUCACUCCCUCUCUCUCCUUUUUGAUGAUUGUGAUAUUUAGACCUGCCAAAGCAGUAUAACUUCAUUGUCUGGAAUUUGGUUAAUUCCAAUGCAAAUACAAAAAUCAAAUACGUGAACUGAGCUUUGAAAAUAUUUUCAUUUUUGAGGAUUUUCAUUGUUAUGGGAUUGAGCCUGUAGAAGUCUCUGUGUAAGCUACAUAGAGCAAAUCUAAUCUACUCACACUGAAGUCAGGGCUCUGUAAAAGACUGUGGGAACAUUCAUUCUCCACUCUCUCAGAGACUCUUUUAGAUGGCACUGGCUGAGGCAGAAUGAAUACAGCUGCUGAUUCUGAUCUCACACUGGGUAUAUCCCUGAGUGCUGGAAAAAACAUCACCCUCAGAAGUGUGCAUUCAGCCAGCUGCCUUUGGAGAGAGCUGGGAAGGGUGCAAAGUGGCAUGUCCUUUACCAGUCACUCUUUCUGGGCCAAUGCUUAUCCAGAAAUGAGACAGAACUAUGGGUUUACUGCAAAUGACCAGCAUCCGCAAAGUGAUCAAGACUACCAACUUUGGGUAAUGUGUCCCACAUCUCAGAUGUCAGUUGAUAUAAGACAUUACAGUAAAGAAUUAUGAGUGUUCACUCUGCAAUGAAAAAAUGAACCAGCAGAAGGUGAAUGUGAAAGACUAAGAAGAGCCCUGCAGAAAACCCGUUAGCCCAUGUUUUCAUCUGUAAUGUGGAUGUGGGAUAGGAAGAGGGACAACGACAUAGUACCGACCAGGUUCCAGAAACUAUUCCAAGUGCUUUACGUGAUAAAAAUCUCUUAAUUGUCUCAACGACCAUACGAAGUAUAUCUCUAGUGUUGCCCCUAUUUUAUAGAUGACAAAACCUUACUGAUAUCUGUAUAGCUAGUAAGUAGGAGAGACAGGAUUCAAUCUGUCAGCCCAACUCUGCCGGUGCCCGUGUCCCUGCUCUGUGAUCCUGACAGGCAGCCACAGCCAGGAGUCCGUCCUUGUUUUAGAUAUUUCCCAUGUCUGCUGCUCAACUAGACCCUAACGGUGGAUUCUUGGUACAUCCUUACCCAAGGAUAACCCAUAAGUUUUCAUGACAUUACCACGGACUCGUCUUGCUUGUGAAACCAAGUAAUAGUAAAAACAGAAGAAUCAUGUGUUAAAAAUUUUUUGAAGUAAAUGAUUCUGUCAUCAUUAUUCUUAAAGAAAGUGAUGUACCCAAGGUCACACACUUAGUCACUGGUCAGUCCUGGGGCAAACACCCCUUGAUGUCCAGCCCUUGAGUCAGGAUGAUUGCUUCAUCUAGAAGGCACCAUGGGCACUCUGCCUGAAUCCAGGAACCUCUGGAGUUGUAUAUGGCUCUGUCCAAGACAAAGGAAUCCGCUGUACCAGAUCCACAGAAGCCCUGGCUCUAAAUUAAAAACAGCACAACAACAACAUUGCAGCAACAACAAAAUAGUAAUACAAUAAAAGGUGGGAAGACCUCGAGAGCAUAAAAAUUUCCUUAAACUGAUCAUCAAGGAAAGGAAAGGGAGGAUUCCUUCUUUAAAGAGGCAAGUGCCUGCCAGCAGGAACCUAAAACUCAUUAUUAUUCUGUAUUUUCUUUUUUCAUGACUAAAAAGUUUUUCUAUCCUCCCCCUUCCUAUCCCUAUCAAAAGACUACCCCCUCCACAAGACAAUCACAAACUUUAAAAGUAGCAAGCCCUCACUUCAAACAAAAUGUAAAAAUAAAAAUUCAAAAACC
rnacentral:lncRNA from 1 species